rnacentral:rRNA from 1 species
UACGGAGGGUGCAAGCGUUGUCCGGAUUUAUUGGGUUUAAAGGGUGCGUAGGCGGCCCGGUAAGUCAGUGGUGAAAGCCUCCAGCUCAACUGGAGAACUGCCAUUGAUACUGCCGGGCUUGAGUACAGACGAGGUUGGCGGAAUUGAUUGUGUAGCGGUGAAAUGCAUAGAUAUGUCACAGAACACCAAUUGCGAAGGCAGCUUACUAAGGUGCAAUUGACGCUGAGGCACGAAAGCGUGGGGAUCAAACAGG